UGGGAAAUAUUGGACAAUGGGCGAAAGCCUGAUCCAGCCAUGCCGCGUGUGUGAAGAAGGUCUUCGGAUUGUAAAGCACUUUAAGUUGGGAGGAAGGGCAGUAAGCGAAUACCUUGCUGUUUUGACGUUACCGACAGAAUAAGCACCGGCUAACUCUGUGCCAGCAGCCGCGGUAAUACAGAGGGUGCAAGCGUUAAUCGGAAUUACUGGGCGUAAAGCGCGCGUAGGUGGUUCGUUAAGUUGAAUGUGAAAGCCCCGGGCUCAACCUGGGAACUGCAUCCAAAACUGGCGAGCUAGAGUAGGGCAGAGGGUGGUGGAAUUUCCUGUGUAGCGGUGAAAUGCGUAGAUAUAGGAAGGAACACCAGUGGCGAAGGCGACCACCUGGGCUCAUACUGACACUGAGGUGCGAAAGCGUGGGGAGCAAACAGG
rnacentral:rRNA from 1 species